rnacentral:rRNA from 1 species
AACGCUGGCGGCGCGCUUAACACAUGCAAGUCGAGCGAGAACCAGUCCUUCGGGACUGGGGACAGCGGCGAACGGGUGAGUAACACGUGGGUAAUCUGCCCUCGGCACUGGGAUAGCCCGGGGAAACCCGGAUUAAUACCGGAUAGCCUUUCGAGUCCUCGGACUCGUCAGAAAAGGUGGCUUCGGCUUCCGGCUGAGGAUGAGCCCGCGGCGGAUUAGCUUGUUGGUGGGGUAAUGGCCCACCAAGGCGACGAUCCGUAGCUGGUCUGGGAGGACGAUGAGCCACACUGGGACUGAGACACGGUCCAGACUCCUACGGGAGGCAGCAGUGGGGAAUUUCCCACAAUGGGCGAAAGCCUGAUGGAGCAACGCCGCGUGUGUGAUGAAGGUCUUCGGAUCGUAAAGCACUUUCGACUGGGACGAAAAACCUUUGGCUAACAUCCAGGGGCCUGACGGUACCAGGAGAAGAAGCACCGGCUAACUCUGUGCCAGCAGCAGCCGCGGUAA